rnacentral:rRNA from 1 species
UAGGGAAUCUUCGGCAAUGGACGGAAGUCUGACCGAGCAACGCCGCGUGAGUGAAGAAGGUUUUCGGAUCGUAAAGCUCUGUUGUUAGAGAAGAACGUUGGUAGGAGUGGACAAUCUACCAAGUGACGGUAACUAACCAGAAAGGGACGGCUAACUACGUGCCAGCAGCCGCGGUAAUACGUAGGUCCCGAGCGUUGUCCGGAUUUAUUGGGCGUAAAGCGAGCGCAGGCGGUUCUUUAAGUCUGAAGUUAAAGGCAGUGGCUUAACCAUUGUACGGUAUGGAAACUGGAGGAGUUGAGUGCAGAAGGGGAGAGUGGAAUUCCAUGUGUAGCGGUGAAAUGCGUAGAUAUAUGGAGGAACACCGGUGGCGAAAGCGGCUCUCUGGUCUGUAACUGACGCUGAGGCUAGAAAGGGUGGGGAGCAAACAGG